GGCUUGGUGGUCUAGUGGUAUGAUUCUCGCUUAGGGCCCACCCUACAGCAUAGCGCAUGCGAGAGGUCCCGGGUUCAAUCCCCGGCCAAGCCC